GAUGAACGCUGGCGGCGUGCCUAACACAUGCAAGUCGAACGGAAAGGCCCUGCUCUUGUGGGGUGCUCGAUUGCCGAACGGGUGAGUAACACGUGUGUAUCCUGCCCUUGUCUUUCGGAUAACAUCACGAAACUGGGGCUAAUAUCGGAUAGGAUCUCCUGCUCCAUGGUGGGCGUUGGAAAGUUUCGGCGGUUGGGGAUGGACUAGCGGCUUAUCCGCUUGUUUGUGGGGUAGUGGCUUACCAAGGCUUUGACGGGUAGCCGGCCUGGGAGGGUGACCGGCGACAUUGGGACUGAGGUACGGACCAGACUGCUACGGGAGGCAGCGGUGGGGAGUAUUGCACAAUGGGCGGAAGCCUGAUGCAGAAGCGCCGCGUGCGGAAUGACGGCCUUCGGGUUGUAAACCGCUUUCGCCUGUGACGAAGCGUGAGUGACGGUAAUGAGUAAAGAAGCACCGGCUAACUACGUG
rnacentral:rRNA from 1 species